rnacentral:rRNA from 1 species
UACAGAGGUCCCAAGCGUUGUUCGGAUUCAUUGGGCGUAAAGGGUGCGUAGGCGGCGCGGUAAGUCGGGUGUGAAAUCUCGGGGCUUAACUCCGAAACUGCAUUCGAUACUGCCGUGCUUGAGGACUGGAGAGGAGACUGGAAUUUACGGUGUAGCGGUGAAAUGCGUAGAUAUCAGGAGGAACACCGGUGGCGAAGGCGGGUCUCUGGGCAACAACUGACGCUGAGGAGCGAAAGCGUGGGGAGCGAACAGG